AGCUGAGUUAAGUCCGCCGCGAGGCAGGACGGUAAUAUCUACUGGGAGUGUAGGUGUCAGAGGAUAAGGUGCAGUUAGUACGAGAGGAAUAUUGCACCGGUGCCACUAGUUUACCAGUUGUGAUGAGCAUGGCUGGGUAGCCACGCACUGAGGGAUAAGACCUGAAAGCAUCUAAGGUCGAAGCCCGAUCCGAAACGAGACAUCAGGGCGGUUCUAAUACAGAACUUUGAUAGGGCAGGAGUGUAAGCGGAAAGCGCAAGCGAUCCGUGAGCUCACUGCUACUAAAGCCUAAAUUGCAAGCUAC
rnacentral:rRNA from 1 species